rnacentral:rRNA from 1 species
GACGAACGCUGGCGGCGUGCUUAACACAUGCAAGUCGAACGCUGAAGCUCAGCUUUUGUUGGGUGGAUGAGUGGCGAACGGGUGAGUAACACGUGAGUAACCUGCCUCCUUCUUUGGGAUAACGCCCGGAAACGGGUGCUAAUACUGGAUAUUCACUGGUCUUCGCAUGGGGGUUGGUGGAAAGGGUUUUUCUGGUGGGGGAUGGGGUCGCGGCCUAUCAGCUUGUUGGUGGGGUGAUGGCCUACCCAGGCUUUGACGGGUAGCCAGCAUGAGGGGGGGAACUGGCACAGUGAGACGGAGAAGCGGCCCAGAGUAGGACGGAGGGGAGCAGAGUGGAAUAUGGGAGAAUGGGCGAAAGAGUGAUGCCGCGUCGCCGAAGGAGGGAUGGGGGCUUUCGAGUUGUGAAGCUGUGUCGCAAAAGGUCAAGCCGCAACAAUGGUUGUGGUGAGGGUAGUGGGUAAAGAAGCGCCGGCUAACUACGUG